GACUAAGCGUACACGGUGGAUGCCCUGGCAGUCAGAGGCGAUGAAGGACGUGCUAAUCUGCGAAAAGCGUCGGUAAGGUGAUAUGAACCGUUACAGCCGGCGAUGUCCGAAUGGGGAAACCCAGUGCAAUUCGUUGCACUAUCGUUAACUGAAUACAUAGGUUAACGAGGCGAACCGGGGGAACUGAAACAUCUAAGUACCCCGAGGAAAAGAAAUCAACCGAGAUUCCCCCAGUAGCGGCGAGCGAACGGGGAGCAGCCCAG
rnacentral:rRNA from 1 species